rnacentral:rRNA from 1 species
CUGGAAUUCGGCUUAGAGUUUNAUCCUGGCUCAGAACGAAACGCUGGCGGCAGGCCUAACACAUGCAAGUCGAACGCUCCAGCAAUGGAGAGUGGCAGACGGGUGAGUAACGCGUGGGAACCUUCCCAGUGGUACGGAAUAGCCCAGGGAAACUUGGGGUAAUACCGUAUAAGCCCCUAGGGGGAAAGAUUUAUCGCCAUUGGAUGGGCCCGCGUCGGAUUAGCUAGUUGGUGAGGUAACGGCUCACCAAGGCGACGAUCCGUAGCUGGUCUGAGAGGAUGAUCAGCCACACUGGGACUGAGACACAGGCCCAGACUCCUACGGGAGGCAGCAGUGGGGAAUAUUGGACAAUGGGCGAAAGCCUGAUCCAGCCAUGCCGCGUGAGUGACGAAGGCCUUAGGGUUGUAAAGCUCUUUUGGCGGGGACGCAUAAU